GUAGAAUGAACCGGCGAGUUACGAUUUGUUGCAAGGUUAAGCGGAAAAAGCGGAGCCGUAGCGAAAGCGAGUCUGAAUAGGGCGCAUAAGUAACAGGUCGUAGACCCGAAACCAGGUGAUCUACCCAUGUCCAGGAUGAAGGUAAGGUAAUACUUACUGGAGGUCCGAACCCACGCACGUUGAAAAGUGCGGGGAUGAGGUGUGGGUAGCGGAGAAAUUCCAAUCGAACUUGGAGAUAGCUGGUUCUCUCCGAAAUAGCUUUAGGGCUAGCCUCGAGGUAAAGAGUCAUGGAGGUAGAGCACUGUUUGGACUAGGGGCCCUUCUCGGGUUACCGAAUUCAGAUAAACUCCGAAUGCCAUGUACUUAUACUCGGGAGUCAGACUGCGAGUGAUAAGAUCCGUAGUCGAAAGGGAAACAGCCCAGACCACCAGUUAAGGUCCCCAAAUAUAUGUUAAGUGGAAAAGGAUGUGGGGUUGCUUAGACAACCAGGAUGUUGGCUUAGAAGCAGCCACCAUUGAAAGAGUGCGUAAUAGCUCACUGGUCGAGUGACCCCGCGCCGAAAAUGUACCGGGGCUAAACAUAUUACCGAAACUGUGGAUGAACCUCUUUAGAGGUUCGUGGUAGGAGAGCGUUCUAAGGGCGGUGAAGUCAGACCGGAAGGACUGGUGGAGCGCUUAGAAGUGAGAAUGCCGGUAUGAGUAGCGAAAGAAGGGUGAGAAUCCCUUCCACCGAAUAUCUAAGGUUUCCUGAGGAAGGCUCGUCCGCUCAGGGUUAGUCGGGACCUAAGCCGAGGCCGAUAGGCGUAGGCGAUGGACAACAGGUAGAGAUUCCUGUACCAGUGCUAAUUGUUUAACCGAUGGGGUGACACAGAAGGAUAGGGAAUCGCACGAAUGGAAAUGUGCGUCCAAGCAGUGAGUGUGAGAAGUAGGCAAAUCCGCUUCUCGCGAAGCAUGAGCUGUGAUGGGGAAGGAAAUUAAGUACGGAAGUUCCUGAUUUCACGCUGUCAAGAAAAGCCUCUAGGAAGAGUAGUACUGCCCGUACCGCAAACCGACACAGGUAGAUGAGGAGAGAAUCCUAAGGUGAGCGAGAGAACUCUCGUUAAGGAACUCGGCAAAAUGACCCCGUAACUUCGGGAGAAGGGGUGCUCUAUUAGGGUGCAAGCCCGAGAGAGCCGCAGUGAAUAGGCCCAGGCGACUGUUUAGCAAAAACACAGGUCUCUGCAAAACCGUAAGGUGACGUAUAGGGGCUGACGCCUGCCCGGUGCUGGAAGGUUAAGAGGAGUGCUUAGCUUCGGCGAAGGUACGAAUUGAAGCCCCAGUAAACGGCGGCCGUAACUAUAACGGUCCUAAGGUAGCGAAAUUCCUUGUCGGGUAAGUUCCGACCCGCACGAAAGGCGCAACGAUCUGGGCACUGUCUCAACGAGAGACUCGGUGAAAUUAUAGUACCUGUGAAGAUGCAGGUUACCCGCGACAGGACGGAAAGACCCCGUGGAGCUUUACUGCAACCUGAUAUGGAAUGUUUGUACCGCUUGUACAGGAUAGGUAGGAGCCGAAGAGACGUGUGCGCUAGCAUACGAGGAGGCAAUGGUGGGAUACUACCCUGGCUGUAUGACCAUUCUAACCCGCCACGCUUAGCGCGUGGGGAGACAGUGUCAGGUGGGCAGUUUGACUGGGGCGGUCGCCUCCUAAAGAGUAACGGAGGCGCCCAAAGGUUCCCUCAGAAUGGAUGGAAAUCAUUCGCAGAGUGUAAAGGCACAAGGGAGCUUGACUGCGAGACUGACAAGUCGAGCAGGGACGAAAGUCGGGCUUAGUGAUCCGGUGGUUCCGCAUGGAAGGGCCAUCGCUCAACGGAUAAAAGCUACCCCGGGGAUAACAGGCUUAUCUCCCCCAAGAGUCCACAUCGACGGGGAGGUUUGGCACCUCGAUGUCGGCUCGUCGCAUCCUGGGGCUGUAGUCGGUCCCAAGGGUUGGGCUGUUCGCCCAUUAAAGCGGCACGCGAGCUGGGUUCAGAACGUCGUGAGACAGUUCGGUCCCUAUCCGUCGCGGGCGCAGGAAAUUUGAGAGGAGCUGUCCUUAGUACGAGAGGACCGGGAUGGACACACCGCUGGUGUACCAGUUGUUCCGCCAGGAGCAUCGCUGGGUAGCUAUGUGUGGCAGGGAUAAACGCUGAAAGCAUCUAAGCGUGAAGCCCCCCUCAAGAUGAGAUUUCCCAUUUCUUCGGAAAGUAAGAUCCCUGAAAGAUGAUCAGGUAGAUAGGUUUGGAGUGGAAGUGUAGCGAUACAUGGAGCGGACAAAUACUAAUCGAUCGAGGACUUAACCAAAA
rnacentral:rRNA from 1 species